rnacentral:piRNA from 1 species
UGGAGUGUGGAUUAUUGAGAUUAUUUGC